AACGAAGCAUUUAGAACAGAUUACUUCGGUUUGAAGUUCUUUAUGACUGAGUGGCGGACGGGUGAGUAACGCGUGGGUAACCUGCCUUGUGCUGGGGGAUAGCAGCUGGAAACGGCUGGUAAUACCGCAUAAGCGCACAAUGUUGCAUGACAUGGUGUGAAAAACUCCGGUGGUAUAAGGUGGACCCGCGUCUGAUUAGCUAGUUGGUGAGAUAACAGCCCACCAAGGCGACGAUCAGUAGCCGACCUGAGAGGGUGACCGGCCACAUUGGGACUGAGACACGGCCCAGACUCCUACGGGAGGCAGCAGUGGGGAAUAUUGCACAAUGGAGGAAACUCUGGUGCAGCGACGCCGCGUGAGUGAAGAAGUAAUUCGUUAUGUAAAGCUCUAUCAGCAGGGAAGAUAGUGACGGUACCUGACUAAGAAGCUCCGGCUAAAUACGUGCCAGCAGCCGCGGUAAUACGUAUGGAGCAAGCGUUAUCCGGAUUUACUGGGUGUAAAGGGAGUGUAGGUGGCCAUGCAAGUCAGAAGUGAAAAUCCGGGGCUCAACCCCGGAACUGCUUUUGAAACUGUAAGGCUGGAGUGCAGGAGGGGUGAGUGGAAUUCCUAGUGUAGCGGUGAAAUGCGUAGAUAUUAGGAGGAACACCAGUGGCGAAGG
rnacentral:rRNA from 1 species